AUGGAGAGAUCCCGCGGGCUGCUGCUGGUGGCGGGGCUGCUGGCGGCGCUGCUGCCGGCGGCGGCGGCGCAGCCGGGGGCGCCGUGCGAGCCCGCGCUGCUGGCGACGCAGGUGGCGCUCUUCUGCGCGCCCGACAUGCCGACGGCCCAGUGCUGCGAGCCCGUCGUCGCCGCCGUCGACCUCGGCGGCGGGGUGCCCUGCCUCUGCCGCGUCGCCGCCGAGCCGCAGCUCGUCAUGGCGGGCCUCAACGCCACCCACCUCCUCACGCUCUACAGCUCCUGCGGCGGCCUCCGCCCCGGCGGCGCCCACCUCGCCGCCGCCUGCGAAGGACCCGCUCCCCCGGCCGCCGUCGUCAGCAGCCCCCCGCCCCCGCCUCCACCGUCCGCCGCACCUCGCCACGACGCACCACCGCCGCCACCGCCGUCGAGCGAGAAGCCGUCGUCCCCGCCGCCGUCCCAGGACCACGACGGCGCCGCCCCCCGCGCCAAGGCCGCGCCCGCCCAGGCGGCCACCUCCACGCUCGCGCCCGCCGCCGCCGCCACCGCCCCGCCGCCCCAGGCGCCGCACUCCGCCGCGCCCACGGCGCCGUCCAAGGCGGCCUUCUUCUUCGUCGCCACGGCCAUGCUCGGCCUCUACAUCAUCCUCUGA
rnacentral:rRNA from 1 species